rnacentral:rRNA from 1 species
GAUGAACGCUGGCGGCGUGCUUAACACAUGCAAGUCGAACGGUGAAGCAGGAGCUUGCUCUUGUGGAUCAGUGGCGAACGGGUGAGUAACACGUGAGCAACCUGCCCCUGACUCUGGGAUAAGCGCUGGAAACGGCGUCUAAUACUGGAUAUGUGAUGUGACCGCAUGGUCUGCAUCUGGAAAGAAUUUCGGUUGGGGAUGGGCUCGCGGCCUAUCAGCUUGUUGGUGAGGUAAUGGCUCACCAAGGCGUCGACGGGUAGCCGGCCUGAGAGGGUGACCGGCCACACUGGGACUGAGACACGGCCCAGACUCCUACGGGAGGCAGCAGUGGGGAAUAUUGCACAAUGGGCGGAAGCCUGAUGCAGCAACGCCGCGUGAGGGAUGACGGCCUUCGGGUUGUAAACCUCUUUUAGCAGGGAAGAAGCGAAAGUGACGGUACCUGCAGAAAAAGCACCGGCUAACUACGUGCCAGCCGCCGCCGUAAGAC